UCUGGUAAAAUGAGUUUCCAUAGCCUAUGCUGUUGUUGCCAGUGCAUCGCUUCUCCAGUCAGAGAAUACUUAAAGAGCUUGCACAAUAGGUAGUCCUCGGGGACUCCGUCCAUACGAAGAGCAGCGAUAAGAUCCUCAAACCUCUCUAGACGGUCCAUAGGAUGCUCGUGCGGUAACCCAGAGUAGGGUAUCUGCGACACGAGUGUGUAGUACUGAGGCUUCAGCUCAAAAUUCUGCUUCUGAAUCUCUGGAAGUCGAUUAGCUGAUCUGUUGGCGUAGUACUUAUCUGGACGAUUGUAGUCAGCCA
rnacentral:lncRNA from 1 species